AGUGAACGCUGGCGGUAGGCCUAGCACAUGCAAGUCGAACGGCAGCACAGUAAGAGCUUGCUCUUACGGGUGGCGAGUGGCGGACGGGUGAGGAAUACAUCGGAAUCUACUUUUUCGUGGGGGAUAACGUAGGGAAACUUACGCUAAUACCGCAUACGACCUACGGGUGAAAGCAGGGGAUCUUCGGACCUUGCGCGAUUGAAUGAGCCGAUGUCGGAUUAGCUAGUUGGCGGGGUAAAGGCCCACCAAGGCGACGAUCCGUAGCUGGUCUGAGAGGAUGAUCAGCCACACUGGAACUGAGACACGGUCCAGACUCCUACGGGAGGCAGCAGUGGGGAAUAUUGGACAAUGGGCGCAAGCCUGAUCCAGCCAUACCGCGUGGGUGAAGAAGGCCUUCGGAUUGUAAAGCCCUUUUGUUGGGAAAGAAGAGCAGCAGGUUAAUACCCCGCUGUUCUGACGGUACCCAAAGAAUAAGCACCGGCUAACUUCGUG
rnacentral:rRNA from 1 species